rnacentral:tRNA from 1 species
CGGGAUGUAGCGCAGUCCGGCUAGCGUUCACGAAUGGGGUUCGUGAGGUCGCAGGUUCGAAUCCUGUCAUCCCGACCA